AUUGAACGCUGGCGGCAGGCCUAACACAUGCAAGUCGAGCGAGCGGCGGACGGGUGAGUAAUAUCUGGGAAACUGCCUGAUGGAGGGGGGUAAAUACAGGAAACGCUGGCUAAAACCGCAUACCCCAAGCUGUGUCCCGAUGUGAUUCGCUAGUAGGUGGGGUAACGGAGCACCAAGGCGACGAUCCCUCGCUGGUCUGGGCGGAUGAACAGCCACACUGGAACUGAGAAACGGUCCAGACUCCUACGGGAGGCAGCAGUGGGGAAUAUUGCACAAUGGGCGCAAGCCGGAUGGAGCCAUGCCGCGGGUGUGAAGAAGGCCUUCGGGUUGGAAAGCACUUUCAGCGGGGAGGCGUUACCCGCAGAAGAAGCACCGGCUAACUCCGUGCCAGCAGCCGCGGUAAUUC
rnacentral:rRNA from 1 species